CUUGGACUAAGCUCUCAUUACAGUGGUUACACAUGUACACUGUACUUUGCAUCAAAACUAUUUUAUCUUGUUGAAGUAGUUCUGAAGUAGUGCUGGUGCAGGGACUCACCUUCAAUGUCAGUUUUCAGAGCUUAUCUUUGGAGAUUUGGAGCAUGAAGCUCCACCUUCCGCUGGCUGAUUGACAUCCUAGUAAGGAAGAUCAGAUUAGUCCAAUCUGUGUCUGCGACGUCUAUACGACACACACAACUUGAACUGGGAUCUCUCUCCUCUGCCAAGAUGUGCACACAGCCCAAUUCAUUAAACAGUGAGCUGGACUGUGUAUAAACUGAUAGCGAUGGUGGUAUGGCCGCUAUCUGUAUACAGAACAGUUCUGCUCAUCAUAUGUGAUGUUUGGAACUGAUAAUAUUCUUAUC